AUUGAACGCUGGCGGCAGGCCUAACACAUGCAAGUCGAGCGAGCGGCGGACGGGUGAGUAAUGUAUGGGGACUGCCUGAUGGAGGGGGAUAACUACUGGAAACGGUAGCUAAUACCGCAUACCAUACGAUAACCCAUAUGGGAUGAGCUGGUAGGGAAGGUAACGGCUUACCUAGGCGACGAUCCCUAGCUGUUCUGAGAGGAGGAUCAGCCACACUGGGAUGGAGACAGGGCCCAGACGCCUACGGAGGCAGCAUGGGGGAAUAUUCGAAAAUGGGCGCAGGCCGGAUGCAGACAUGCCGCGUGUAUGAAGAGGGCCUUCGGUUUGUAAAGUACUUUCAGUCGGGAGGCGUUACCGACAUAAGAAGCACCGGCUAACUCCGUGCCAGCAGCCGCGGUAAUUC
rnacentral:rRNA from 1 species